CGAGGGGUGCUGUGCUGUAACCAGACCUUGCACCUUGUGGUUGAGGCUGGGCACCAGUGGUCCUCAGGUGGCCACUUGUAUCUAAGUCACGCGUUCAUCUCGAUGAUCCAGGCAAACACUGCUGUGGAGAGGAGUCAUACAACCCUCAGAAUGAAAUCUGCUGCAACGGACUGAACCAAAGGUGAUGAACAAAACGGAGCAAUUUCUCCUACACAAAUAAUAUUUUUGGAAAAACUGAACAUUAGCUAUCUGAGAGUCUCCUCACUGAAAACAUCCUAAGUUCUUCAAAGACUCAGCAGGUGGAGGGUUAUGCAUGUUAUGCUGCGGAGGGAAGGCCUACGACCCCAGCAGUUGCCAGAUGAAGUCCGUUGCCGGGACUCUGUACGACCUGCAGGUUCAGGACAGGCUCUCAGAAGAUGCCCAGUGCUGUGGGAAUAUCCUGAUGGAGGCCGGCUCCACCUGCUGCUCCGACCCAGGACUAGACCUGCUCUCCCCUACCCAGCCAGGGUUCACCUGCUGUGGGCACCGCUACCCCAACUCCUCCCUGUGGUCUUGCUGUGUGGGGUUCCUGCACCCAAGGCUUGAACCACACACCACCAGCAUG